rnacentral:rRNA from 1 species
UACAGAGGUCUCAAGCGUUGUUCGGAUUCAUUGGGCGUAAAGGGUGCGUAGGCGGCGCGGUAAGUCGGGUGUGAAAUCUCGGGGUUUAACUCCGAAACUGCAUUCGAUACUGCCGUGCUUGAGGACUGGAGAGGAGACUGGAAUUUACGGUGUAGCGGUGAAAUGCGUAGAUAUCGUAAGGAAGACCAGUGGCGAAGGCGGGUCUCUGGACAGUUCCUGACGCUGAGGCACGAAGGCCAGGGGAGCAAACGGG